UACAUCGACUGAAUAUACCUACAUUGCGAUUCAAUAUUCAGUAGGUAUUUUAAGACCGUGAUUGCAAUUUGCAUUUGAGCUCAGCAGUCGAGUAAGUUGUGCCAAAAAUACCAGAAGUGUUGCAUGCCCUGGAUGCAGAAAAACAAGAUUGAGAUGAGUGGAUCAAGAUGUAUCUUUCGUGCAGAUCAAGAUGUAUCAAGAUGUAGGUACCUUUCACUUAAGAUCCAUGCAGGCGCAAGCUCUGGAUGAACUUCUGCGGUGACGUCGGCAUUCUUACAGGAGAACCCAAGAUUCGCUGUACCUGUAUGCAUUUCAAAACUGAAUAAUUGAUAGCAGCAAGUAAAUAUUUGAAGUUGCAGCCAAAUGCUGUGCCUUCUCUGCUGCAAGAACUACAUGUCACCAUUGAAGCAAGGACCAGCUCGACUCCUGCAGUAGGAGUCCAGCCUCGUCCAGUCGUCCCCGCUCGCCAAGACCAGCCGGACUCCUGCAAUAGGGGUCCAGGCUGACCCGUUCGUCCAGUAACCGCCGCUCGUCAGCACCAGCUGGGCUCCUGUAGUAGGGGUCCAGCCUCGUCCAGUCGCCGCCGCUCGCCAAGACCAGCUGGGCUCCUGUAGUAUGGGGCUAGGUUGGCCCGUUCAUCAACCGGUCCCGAAGUCACAUCGCUGUCAGCCAGCCGAACUCAGUACAUAAGUCACCAACCCUGAAUGUUGCCAGCCAAAGUCGGCAGUUUCCUUCGGACAGUCAUCUCACCAGUGUUGUACAGUGUACAAGGUUAGUGACGCAGUUAAAUGCGUCAAUUAAAUGCGAGGACGUGCGCUUGUAUGCAGCGUUUUGUCAUGUUGAGCUGCAUGGGUGUCGAUUUUCACCGAAUUGAGGGUGCCCAGUGCCCACUGCCCGGGCGCAGCAAAUCCGCCGCCGCCUUAGCGGUGACCUUGACCCGCACCGUCUGUUGGGGCUCCAAAGCCAAGCCAGCCGAGCCGGCGGGGAAUUUAGACAGCUUGAGCACCCCCAACCCGGCGGAAAUUGACACCUAUGUUGAGCUGUAUGGAAUGGAUGCGUUUUAGCCUUCCGCCGUGGUGGUAAAUAGCAGCCUACAUGCAGAAUUAGCCAGGCUUAUUGGCGGACUCAUUAUUGGAUUCAUUGUGUCACGUUUGUCGGCACGUGUAAGAUGUGCUUAACUGCCAUUGGCUCUCGGCCUGGCGACUUCUGGGGACCACGUAAUGGGGAUGACAAUUGGGAUCCUGUGCCUUAAGCCGGCCAUUUACGUCCAUGGCUAUAUACCCCCGUACUAGGGCCAGUUAUGACGUAUAUAGGGAUCCACGAGAUCUUUUUUGAUGAAUGGGUUGUGCAGUGUUGAGAUCCGCGUGUAACGCCACUGUUUGGCCAGUCUGCCCUCAAACGCGUCAUCUUUACUCGUAUUUUAUUUACAUGAACGCCUUGCAUGGUCCAGUGGUUUAUAUAGACAUCUUCCUUGCACUAGCUAGUUUUAUGUGGCCAGGUUGAUUGCCUGUCAGCGCGGUCACGCUGUCGUCUUUCGAUUGUUGCGCUUAAAUGCGGCGAGAUGAAUAUAGGAUUUCCUUUGAUGCUA
rnacentral:lncRNA from 1 species